rnacentral:sRNA from 1 species
UACUUCACCGAACGGGGAAGGAUGAGAAGCUUCGACUAAGGUUCGAUUCGAGCGCCAGCGAGAAAGCGUUGCCGCAGGCAACGACCCGAAGGGCGAAGCGCUGAGUUACCCCACCACCCGCUU